rnacentral:misc_RNA from 1 species
GCAUGGUAGGGACAUGAGCAUCUUAUUCUCCUAUAGCCUCGACAGACGAUGAGCAACCAGACCCAUAAGCACUGCCGAACAGCUAGUUGACAAGGAAACUCCCUAACGUCAAAAACAAAACCAUCAUGUGCUGAUCUGCACCAAAAUCCUCACAAUGAAGCACAAUACCAGUAGAUGAACAGAGAGCAAGACCAAUCAAAACUAUACACAAGUCAACCAAAAGGUGAGAGGGAGAUCCACCCUUCGGUUAGAGGUAGAGGGGGAUCAAGGGACGGCCUUAAACAUAGGGACUUUGAGAUGAAGACUCAUGCACAUAAUUUUAUUAAUCCCAUAUUUCUCCAUGGCUAGGCUACAAUGAUAUUGUAUCAAUACCCUCUCUCUCUACCUUGUUAGAAAGAAAUUUUCUCUUUUUUUUCUUCUUUUUUAAGGAGCUUAAAUCUUCCCUCUCACUGUAGUUUGGCGGCCUCUUCUACCAUUCUGGGCAGAGGAGGCCUCCACCCUGCCUUGUGCGUUUCCCUCGUUGCCACUGGGUGGGUUGUACAUAUUUUUGGUUUAGUUGUUUCCUUGAAUAUCUGAACUUAUAAGAGAGGGGUUUGUAUUGAUUUACUUUGAUUUGUGUGUUUUUCCCAGAUUCAGCACUCUAGAAGCUUUUGAGAUAUGGUGGGUUGUUCUUGUUUUGGGUGAUGGGCUAGCUUUAUGAGAAGGUGCUUUACUUUUAUGUGUUUGAACGAUACCUCAGGGGUCAUUUUAUUGGCUUGUUUUGUUUUGGUUGUUGGAUCUAAAUGGCUAUAAGAGAUUGAGAUUGCGCUACGAUUGUGCUAUCAUUGGAGAAAUAGGUCCCUCUUUACUGUUUCCGGCUUUGAGUUCCAUGUUGAGUCUACUACUUUUUCAUAAGAGGAAUCUAUUAUUUCUAGACGGCCGACUUUAGUGGUGGUGUGGCUACUUGAAGAAGUUGAUGGGCGACAGUAUAGCUUGUUUCCUUAUGCCUAAUUGAGUUGCUAGGUUUUGAUUGAUACAGGUUUACGGGGCUCUACGUUAGUAGGCUAGUUUAAUGGGGGGCAUGGUGUAUUUGUUUCUCUUUUUUAAGUGAUAUGGGCCUACUUCUUAAUCUAUGUUUUUUUAGCACUAGGCUUGUAAUCUUAAUCUACUUUAAUGAAAUCUCUACUAUCUUUGACAGG